AACGUAGGAGACAAACGUUAUCCGGAGUUACUGGGCGUAAAGGGCGUGUAGGCGGCUGGAUAAGUGGGAUGUUAAACUCCCCCGGCCGUCAACCGGGGACCUGCAUCUCAUACUGUUCAGCUCGAGCACAUCAGAGGAGACUGGAAUUCCCGGUGUAGCGGUGAAAUGCGUAGAUAUCGAGAGGAACACCUGCGGCGAAGGCGGGUUGCUGGGAUGCUCCUGACGCUCAGACACGAAAGCUAGGGGAGCGAACGGG
rnacentral:rRNA from 1 species